GACGAACGCUGGCGGCGUGCCUAACACAUGCAAGUCGAACGGGGUUACACGAGGUGCUUGCACCAUGUGGAACCUAGUGGCGGACGGGUGAGUAACGCGUGAGCAACCUGCCUUUCAGAGGGGGAUAACAACGGGAAACCGUUGCUAAUACCGCAUGAUACCGGAUGAUGGCAUCAUUGACCGGUCAAAGGAGCAAUCCGCUGAAAGAUGGGCUCGCGUCCCAUUAGGUAGUUGGUGGGGUAAAGGCCUACCAAGCCGACGAUGGGUAGCCGGACUGAGAGGUUGAUCGGCCACAUUGGAACUGAGACACGGUCCAAACUCCUACGGGAGGCAGCAGUGGGGAAUAUUGGGCAAUGGGGGAAACCCUGACCCAGCAACGCCGCGUGGAGGAAGAAGGUCUUCGGAUUGUAAACUCCUGUCCUUAGGGAAGAAACAAAUGACGGUACCUGAGGAGGAAGCUCCGGCUAACUACGUGCCAGCAGCCGCGGUAAUACGUAGGGAGCGAGCGUUGUCCGGAAUUACUGGGCGUUAAGGGUGCGUAGGCGGUCUGAAAAGUCGGAUGUGAAAUCCCCGUGCUUAACAUGGGAGCUGCAUUCGAAACUUUCGGACUUGAGUGUCGGAGAGGUAAGCGGAAUUCCCGGUGUAGCGGUGAAAUGCGUAGAUAUCGGGAGGAACACCAGUGGCGAAGGCGGCUUACUGGACGACAACUGACGCUGAGGCACGAAAGCGUGGGGAGCAAGCAAGAUUCCAUACCCUGGUAGUCCACGCCGUAAACGAUGGGUACUAAGGUGUAGGAGGUAACACCCCUCCUGUGCCGCAGCCAACGCAAUAAGUAUCCCGCCUGGGGAGUACGGAUCGCAAGAUUGAAAACUCAAAGGAAUUGACGGGGGCCCGCACAAGCAGCGGAGCAUGUGGUUUAAUUUGAAGCAACGCGAAGAACCUUACCAAGACUUGACAUCCCUUGACAGGCAUGGAAACAUGCUUUCCCUUCGGGGCAAGGAGACAGGUGGUGCAUGGUUGUCGUCAGCUCGUGUCGUGAGAUGUUGGGUUAAGUCCCGCAACGAGCGCAACCCUUACACUUAGUUACCAGCGGGUAAAGCCGGGGACUCUAAGUGGACUGCCGGGGACAACUCGGAGGAAGGUGGGGAGGACGUCAAAUCAUCAUGCCCCUUAUGUCUUGGCUACACACGUGCUACAAUGGCCGUUACAAUGAGCAGCGAGAGGGUAACCUGGAGCGAAACUCAAAAAAGCGGUCCCAGUUCGGAUUGUGGGCUGCAACCCGCCCACAUGAAGUCGGAGUUGCUAGUAAUCGCGGAUCAGCAUGCCGCGGUGAAUGAAUUCCCGGGCCUUGCACA
rnacentral:rRNA from 1 species